rnacentral:rRNA from 1 species
UAUUGGACAAUGGGCGCAAGCCUGAUCCAGCCAUGCCGCGUGUGUGAAGAAGGCCUUCGGGUUGUAAAGCACUUUAAGUUGGGAGGAAGGCUUCUUGGCUAAUAUCCAAGAGGAUUGACGUUACCAACAGAAUAAGCACCGGCUAAUUCCGUGCCAGCAGCCGCGGUAAUACGGAAGGUGCGAGCGUUAAUCGGAAUUACUGGGCGUAAAGCGCACGUAGGUGGCUUCUUAAGUCGGAUGUGAAAGGCCUGGGCUUAACCUGGGAAUUGCAUCCGAUACUGGGAGGCUAGAGUACGGUAGAGGGAGGUGGAAUUCCAGGUGUAGCGGUGAAAUGCGUAGAUAUCUGGAGGAACACCGGUGGCGAAGGCGGCCUCCUGGACUGAUACUGACACUGAGGUGCGAAAGCGUGGGGAGCAAACAGG